AUUUAAAUAGUUUAAUAAAAAUUUUGGUUUGUGAAUCCAAAGAUAUACUUUAGUAUUUUAAAUA
rnacentral:tRNA from 1 species